UUGCUAUCUGCGAUAUGGAAGAUUCGAACCUGUCGCAGGUUCGGGUCUUGCCUGAUGCGCUGCGCUUAUCAGCCCAACAUGCAGUGAGACAACGGAGCCGUUUACGGCGACGGCCCGAAGGGCGAGCGAAGCGAGUCAUCCUGCACGACCCACCA
rnacentral:sRNA from 1 species